rnacentral:rRNA from 1 species
AUCACUUGUCUUUUAAAUGAAGACCCGUAUGAAUGGCACGACGAGGGCUUAACUGUCUCCUUCUCUUCGUCAAUGAAAUUGAUCUCCCCGUGCAGAAGCGGGGAUAAAUACAUAAGACGAGAAGACCCUAUGGAGCUUUAGACAAAAGGCAGACUACGUUAAAACUCCUAAACCACCAGGAAAAAACACAGUAGCCCCUCGCCAACAUGUCUUCGGUUGGGGCGACCGCGGGGGAAAACCAAGCCCCCAUGUGGAAUGGAAAAACCUUUUCCACAGCCAUGAGUUACAACUCUAAGCAACAGAAUUUCUGACCAAAACGAUCCGGCAUACGCCGAUCAACGGACCAAGUUACCCUAGGGAUAACAGCGCAAUC